AUUGAACGCUAGCGGCAUGCUUAACACAUGCAAGUCGAACGAGUGGCGGACGGGUGAGUAAUAUAUGGGAAACUGCCCGAUGGAGGGGGAUAACUACUGGAAACGGUGGCUAAUACCGCAUACCAUCAGAUCUGCCCAGAUGGGAUUAGCUAGUUGGUGGGGUAACGGCUCACCAAGGCAACGAUCCCUAGCGGGUUUGAGAGGAGGACCAGCCACACUGGAACGGAGACACGGCCCAGACUCCUACGGGAGGCAGCAGUGGGGAAUUUUGCACAAUGGGGGCAAGCCUGAUGCAGCCAUGCCGCGUGUAUGAAGAAGGCCUUCGGGUUGUAAAGUACUUUCAGCGGGGAGGCGUUACCCGCAGAAGAAGCACCGGCUAACUACGUGCCAGCAGCCGCGGUAAUUC
rnacentral:rRNA from 1 species